CUGAGCUAGUAGCUGGUGGUCUCUUUCUUUGCUGUAGAAAAGCCUGUGAAGACAGACAUGAGCCGAACUUAGUAGGCAUGGAGUUAGCCAACCCCGGAAGUAGCAUUGUGUGCUCAGCAAUUGGGUGCUAAUUGUAGCUGUGGCUCGACUGUUUCAAACUCGGCUAUUAUGCUUGUACAUUUAACUUAUCACUCAGAUUUAUCAUUUGUGAAGGAACAACCUACCGAGUGAACUCCUAAGUCUCUUUCCAUCUUGGAGUGUCCCAAGGGUCUCUCUACAUCUAAACAUUGUGGCACAUGUGACAGAAGGAUUUGUUGUGAUGGUGCUCAGCUCCCAGAAGGAAUGAAUCUGGGAAAACCUCUGAAUUUCCUCUCAAAAACUUUCCCUCAGUUUUCAGGAUGGACCACCAGCUAUCUGUGAGGAGGAGUCUGGUCCUUGCCUGUCUUCAUGCUCCCUGGAGUGAUUACUUCCACAAGCACUGUACUGGAGCCUGACUGUUGUGUGGUACCCUGUAUCAGUGACACUCAGGUGAAGACCCGACAAGACUGGCUCUCCAUUUCUUCAUCCUCACCCUGUUCAUCUUCCUCACUUCUGUUUAUGCUUUGGAGAAGACCAUUACCCCA